CAAGAUAUUAAGGAGAAUUAAUCAAAAAAUAUCUUGGGAGGAGGGCUGGGAAUUAAAAAGGAGGAUUACAGACCAUUACACUACUUGCAUGUACCCAUGUCCACUCCUGAGACCAUGCUCAAGUCAGGGAAGUGACUGCAUAGCCAGGCACUCCUCUUGCACAGCAUGUGUUUGACUUAUAUUAUUCUGCUUCACAGUCAACAACAAAGAUUUAAUUCCUGAUACUAUGACCCUUAUGCAUAUUUUACAAAGCACUUCCAUAGAUUAUGUCAGUGUUAUCUGAAGAGGAAAUCCCUGCUAUCAAAGUUCUGAAAGCAGAAACAUGUAACUACCUUCCUAACCUCAACACGCGGCUUUGCUGCUUGCAAACCACCACACACUUUUUUUUCAAAGCCUGACGAGAUAACAUGUAGGCUAAAUUAUACCAACUACUGACUUAGUUUUAACAAUACUUUUCUGUUCAUAAGCAAUGGGAGAAAGACAACAUCAAAUGGGAAAAUGUGAAGUGGCAUGCUUUUCUAAAGGAUGGUCUCCACAAUCUUCUGAACACAGUCACAGGAAAGUAUUGAAGCUGUGUGUUUCUGCACAACCAAGAGGUCUGUCUUGCUUAGUCAGGUGUAAUUUGCCAAAUUUACAGCACUGCUUUCUCAGUCAAAGGAUUAAUCUCACCAUGUAGGAACUGGCAUAAAAUACAAAAGAGAGUCCUUCAGCAAGUUUCUGAAAUAUCAGAAGAAACAGUUUUCCUUACAAAGUUUAUCAGGGAAAGAAAGAAACCUCUUUCUAGGAAGACUUUCUUGAGUCAAUUCUGCUCCCUCAGAGUAGAUACCAUUCUCAUGACACUCUCCCUCCAGACAUAUUUAUUGGUAAAAUCUUGUCUCAGUCUUCUCUUGUUGAGGAAGACUGUCUUGAAUUCACGACACAAAGUCUUCUCAUUUCAGGUCCUCCUGACUGUUAUUUCUGUUGCUAGUCACUGAUUUUGAAAAAUACAUUCAUAUGCAACCACUUAAAGAUUGGUUUCCAGUCCUGCCAAAGACUACAACUCAAUGGGAAAGAUUAAAAACUUAAAAUAUUUUUGCCUUAGGAAUUCUGACUCCAAAGAAAUUAAGUGCUGCAAGCCUCCUAGUGAUGCUUUUUGCUCCUUGAAGUGGAGAGAUUUUUACAUCUGAACGUGAAAAAUUUAAAUCAGAACGGAAGAGAACCACAUUAUUUUAUUCAGAAAGAGAGAUAACAGCUUUGCAGCUCUAUCUGCAUGCAAUUGAUGAAUCCAUGUUUAAAAAGUGCUUUCUGCUACUAAUCAAUAUUCAUUAGAAUGUGCAAGCACAAAUACCUUUUCUGAUUGUUUAGUAGACAAAGGGAGGUAAAAAUGAAAGCAGAAAUAAACAAUUUGUAUCCUGAACCAACAGCAGUUUUGGAACCAAAAGAUGACUGCAUGAUUUGCCUCAUGGCACUUAGGACACGUAUAGAAAAGGAAGGUGGCUCCAGGCCACUACAAAAGGAACAAAGGCAUCAAUGAAGUUUCUAUCAAAGAAACUCUUUGCCAGUAAUGUUGCAAGAAUCCUGACUGACAUUGUACCAGAUAUAAAGAAAACUCAACCCAAACUCAAAAAAACUAUUUUGUGAUAUAAACACAUUUGCUUCAGAAGACCUUAAAACACCCGACAUUAACUUUUCUGACUGCAAGAAAGAUCAGUUACAAAAGUAUGGAAAAGGACAAAGAAAUUGAAAGGUUUUCUAGAACUUUCUGAAGAAAGGUAAAGUGGUGUUAUCGUAUAUAAAGUUUGAAAACAAAAGAACAAAAACAAAGAAAACAAAGAACUGUUUUACAAUUCCUUUGCAAUUAAGCAAAAUUAGUAGUCUCCCAUAAACCAAAGUUACAUACAAGGUGUGUAACAAGUAAAGUUUCCUACCACUCCAGAGCUCCUUUAAUCUGGUAUUCUGAACUAAAUCAAAAUACCAUUUUGAGAUAACUCUUCUUAAAUGCCAUGAUAAUUUUGGCCUGGGGAGUACCACCCUGUGCAGACUAAUACACAACUACUCUGACUGGACUUCUAAAUAGGGGUUUACAUCAGACAGUGAAAAGCCUCUUUUCUUGCACAGGUUUCAAACUGCUUCUUUGGUAGCUCAGUAAAUAGCGUGGACCCAUGACGCAAAAUAAUAACAGGUAAAAACCAUGGCAGUAGCCCACUGUGCCAACAGGAAGAUGAGGACAAGGGCACAGUAAGAUCUCUGAAUGGUGCGACACCAGGAAGGUUUACUUUCUUGAUGCCUGGGGAAGUUGUUUUGGACAGGAGGAACCUGCAGACCUGGCAGCCAGCAUUUCAGCAUUCCUGGUAGCAGCCUCCUAAAAGAAACACUAGUAACAGCAGCCUGCAGAGAUGUAACAUAAUUGUAAGAGUGAAGACCAUAAUGAGACAAGAUUUCAUUCCCCAAGUAUAUAAAAGAGCCUCUAAGUAUAUAAUAAUUACCAAGCCCAUUUUGGCCACAAUCUUUUUGCCUGGUGGUGCUGGGAGCCCAGGUGGUAAACAAGAGAAGUUGGAAACAACACAAGUAUGAGCAGAUAAACACCAAACUUAGCAUUUCUGAGCUCUGGAUGUAUCUGUUUGAUACAGCAUAGUGCCACAAGAAGAGAGGAAAGAGAACCAACAAAAUCUUUUUGGCACCAGGCUGUUUGGUACCAGGGGUAAUAUACCUGCUUCUCACCAUGUAAGUCAGUCCAGGCACAGCUGUUUAUUAUUAGGUAGUAAGAUCUUACUUCCAAAACCAUCCAAUAGUAAUAAUGUUGAGUUUUUUUCAAAAACUAGAACACAUUUGCAGAGAGUAACAGUGAAUCACUGUUAGUCUCGCUGCGGUUAGAAGGAGACAAGCAUGUGAAGUUCAAAUUAUGUAUUGUGGAACAAAAAGUGACACUGAAUAAGUAAACAGAAGUGUAGAUAACAGUAUAAGAAAACCCCAAAAAUGAAUGAAAUGGCAACAGUCAGCAGAAUUACAGAAAAUACAGUCAUUUUGAAAACCACCAGUUACAAGAAAAAGUUCAGGAGAGUCUAGGUCAAUUGCUAAAUAAAGACGUCACUUAAGUAAAACACUAUGCCCUGAAAACAGGAAAAAAAAGGUAUCAAUUUUAGUAUUCAAGUAUACAUUUUUAGUUACUUGUGUUUCUCAAGAAAGAAAAUGCAAAGCAGUACAGCACAUUCCUGAGGACUAAAAAGUACUGCCUUGUGGCCCAGAAAUGGCUCCUCAGCUGUCAGCUGGCCACCUCUGACCUAGACCAAGCAUAAAACAUUUGCUUGCAGAUGACACAAUGCAGGGGUGGUAAAUAAGAGGAAACAGGUUACUGCUACAGAAUGAGCCAAAGCACUUUGCUUUAACAGACACAAUCUAAGAAAUGCAACUUGAUGGAGACAGGAGGGAGGCAAUACUUCUGGGAACAAAGAAUGCAGGUUUCAUCUAGGUAGAAUGUGUUGAGGAGAAUUUGGGGGACCAUCAUAAGGGCUUCGUUGUGACAUUGUCACCAAAAGAAACAAGGCAAUCCAUACACUGGAAGAGAAAUUACAAGCAGAACUUGAUUCUACACAGCUGUGGUACAGUCACUGUUAAAUCACUGUCUCUGGUUACUCCAUUCACAUUUCUAGGAGGAGGUCACAACAACAGAGUUUAAAGUAGAUCCAAAAAAGGGACUGAUGGGCUGAAAUCCAAAUGGAAGCAGCUGCCUGCCAUCCAGUUCCAGCCUCUGCUGCUGGGAAAAUCAACAACUGCAACUGUGCUACAGACACUUACCUACUGAGAACAGGAGCUACCAUCAGCAUGUGCUGCCCAUGCAAGUCCAGGAGCUGGCUACAGUGCUCUCUACCUCACUGGUCACCUUGGCUAUUCGAGUGCAGAGCUAAAACCAAAGCCCUGUUAACAUCAUCAUUUCUCAAGACAACUACUAAGAGAAAUAUAAUGCAGUGGAUCUAAAAACUACUGGAAGUAAAAGCAAAUCCUCUAGCUUGUCAUCUCACAUCCUUAGAUUCUCACCUGCUCAGGACCCAUGGAGGACAACCCUGAUGUAGGCACAGAGGUCGCUGAGGUCAUGCUGAUCUGCCCUGUCAUCUGGUUCAUGUUGUUCAUACCACUUGUGUUGGUUGCCAUGGAUACACUGAUGUUCAUGUUAUUGUUGUACAUGCUGGUGCUUGCUUGCUGCCCAAAAUGUGGUGGGGACU